ensembl:piRNA 21ur-1732 ncRNA
UAUUCCUAGUGUCCCCACAAC